GGUUAAGCGACUAAGCGUACACGGUGGAUGCCCUGGCAGUCAGAGGCGAUGAAGGACGUGCUAAUCUGCGAUAAGCGUCGGUGAGGUGAUAUGAACCGUUAUAACCGGCGAUUUCCGAAUGGGGAAACCCAGUGUGAUUCGUCACACUAUCAUUAACUGAAUCCAUAGGUUAAUGAGGCGAACCGGGGGAACUGAAACAUCUAAGUACCCCGAGGAAAAGAAAUCAACCGAGAUUCCCCCAGUAGCGGCGAGCGAACGGGGAGGAGCCCAGAGCCUGAAUCAGUGUGUGUGUUAGUGGAAGCGUCUGGAAAGGCGCGCGAUACAGGGUGACAGCCCCGUACACAAAAAUGCACAUAUUGUGAGCUCGAUGAGUAGGGCGGGACACGUGGUAUCCUGUCUGAAUAUGGGGGGACCAUCCUCCAAGGCUAAAUACUCCUGACUGACCGAUAGUGAACCAGUACCGUGAGGGAAAGGCGAAAAGAACCCCGGCGAGGGGAGUGAAAAAGAACCUGAAACCGUGUACGUACAAGCAGUGGGAGCCUCUUAAUGGGGUGACUGCGUACCUUUUGUAUAAUGGGUCAGCGACUUAUAUUCUGUAGCAAGGUUAACCGAAUAGGGGAGCCGAAGGGAAACCGAGUCUUAACUGGGCGUUAAGUUGCAGGGUAUAGACCCGAAACCCGGUGAUCUAGCCAUGGGCAGGUUGAAGGUUGGGUAACACUAACUGGAGGACCGAACCGACUAAUGUUGAAAAAUUAGCGGAUGACUUGUGGCUGGGGGUGAAAGGCCAAUCAAACCGGGAGAUAGCUGGUUCUCCCCGAAAGCUAUUUAGGUAGCGCCUCGUGAAUUCAUCUCCGGGGGUAGAGCACUGUUUCGGCAAGGGGGUCAUCCCGACUUACCAACCCGAUGCAAACUGCGAAUACCGGAGAAUGUUAUCACGGGAGACACACGGCGGGUGCUAACGUCCGUCGUGAAGAGGGAAACAACCCAGACCGCCAGCUAAGGUCCCAAAGUCAUGGUUAAGUGGGAAACGAUGUGGGAAGGCCCAGACAGCCAGGAUGUUGGCUUAGAAGCAGCCAUCAUUUAAAGAAAGCGUAAUAGCUCACUGGUCGAGUCGGCCUGCGCGGAAGAUGUAACGGGGCUAAACCAUGCACCGAAGCUGCGGCAGCGACACUAUGUGUUGUUGGGUAGGGGAGCGUUCUGUAAGCCUGUGAAGGUGGCCUGUGAGGGUUGCUGGAGGUAUCAGAAGUGCGAAUGCUGACAUAAGUAACGAUAAAGCGGGUGAAAAGCCCGCUCGCCGGAAGACCAAGGGUUCCUGUCCAACGUUAAUCGGGGCAGGGUGAGUCGACCCCUAAGGCGAGGCCGAAAGGCGUAGUCGAUGGGAAACAGGUUAAUAUUCCUGUACUUGGUGUUACUGCGAAGGGGGGACGGAGAAGGCUAUGUUGGCCGGGCGACGGUUGUCCCGGUUUAAGCGUGUAGGCUGGUUUUCCAGGCAAAUCCGGAAAACCAAGGCUGAGGCGUGAUGACGAGGCACUACGGUGCUGAAGCGACAAAUGCCCUGCUUCCAGGAAAAGCCUCUAAGCAUCAGGUAACAUCAAAUCGUACCCCAAACCGACACAGGUGGUCAGGUAGAGAAUACCAAGGCGCUUGAGAGAACUCGGGUGAAGGAACUAGGCAAAAUGGUGCCGUAACUUCGGGAGAAGGCACGCUGAUAUGUAGGUGAAGCGACUUGCUCGUGGAGCUGAAAUCAGUCGAAGAUACCAGCUGGCUGCAACUGUUUAUUAAAAACACAGCACUGUGCAAACACGAAAGUGGACGUAUACGGUGUGACGCCUGCCCGGUGCCGGAAGGUUAAUUGAUGGGGUUAGCGGUAACGCGAAGCUCUUGAUCGAAGCCCCGGUAAACGGCGGCCGUAACUAUAACGGUCCUAAGGUAGCGAAAUUCCUUGUCGGGUAAGUUCCGACCUGCACGAAUGGCGUAAUGAUGGCCAGGCUGUCUCCACCCGAGACUCAGUGAAAUUGAACUCGCUGUGAAGAUGCAGUGUACCCGCGGCAAGACGGAAAGACCCCGUGAACCUUUACUAUAGCUUGACACUGAACAUUGAGCCUUGAUGUGUAGGAUAGGUGGGAGGCUUUGAAGUGUGGACGCCAGUCUGCAUGGAGCCGACCUUGAAAUACCACCCUUUAAUGUUUGAUGUUCUAACGUUGGCCCGUAAUCCGGGUUGCGGACAGUGUCUGGUGGGUAGUUUGACUGGGGCGGUCUCCUCCUAAAGAGUAACGGAGGAGCACGAAGGUUGGCUAAUCCUGGUCGGACAUCAGGAGGUUAGUGCAAUGGCAUAAGCCAGCUUGACUGCGAGCGUGACGGCGCGAGCAGGUGCGAAAGCAGGUCAUAGUGAUCCGGUGGUUCUGAAUGGAAGGGCCAUCGCUCAACGGAUAAAAGGUACUCCGGGGAUAACAGGCUGAUACCGCCCAAGAGUUCAUAUCGACGGCGGUGUUUGGCACCUCGAUGUCGGCUCAUCACAUCCUGGGGCUGAAGUAGGUCCCAAGGGUAUGGCUGUUCGCCAUUUAAAGUGGUACGCGAGCUGGGUUUAGAACGUCGUGAGACAGUUCGGUCCCUAUCUGCCGUGGGCGCUGGAGAACUGAGGGGGGCUGCUCCUAGUACGAGAGGACCGGAGUGGACGCAUCACUGGUGUUCGGGUUGUCAUGCCAAUGGCACUGCCCGGUAGCUAAAUGCGGAAGAGAUAAGUGCUGAAAG
rnacentral:rRNA from 1 species